rnacentral:rRNA from 1 species
UACGGUGGAGUGAAGCGUUGUUCGGAAUUACUGGGCGUAAAGCGCACGUAGGCGGCGAUUUAAGUCAGAGGUGAAAGCCCGGGGCUCAACCCCGGAAUAGCCUUUGAGACUGGAUUGCUAGAAUCUUGGAGAGGCGAGUGGAAUUCCGAGUGUAGAGGUGAAAUUCGUAGAUAUUCGGAAGAACACCAGUGGCGAAGGCGGCUCGCUGGACAAGUAUUGACGCUGAGGUGCGAAAGCGUGGGGAGCAAACAGG